rnacentral:rRNA from 1 species
GGAAGUAAAAGUCGUAACAAGGUCUCCGUUGGUGAACCAGCGGAGGGAUCAUUACCGAGUUUACAACUCCCAAACCCCUGUGAACAUACCACUUGUUGCCUCGGCGGAUCAGCCCGCUCCCGGUAAAACGGGACGGCCCGCCAGAGGACCCCUAAACUCUGUUUCUAUAUGUAACUUCUGAGUAAAACCAUAAAUAAAUCAAAACUUUCAACAACGGAUCUCUUGGUUCUGGCAUCGAUGAAGAACGCAGCAAAAUGCGAUAAGUAAUGUGAAUUGCAGAAUUCAGUGAAUCAUCGAAUCUUUGAACGCACAUUGCGCCCGCCAGUAUUCUGGCGGGCAUGCCUGUUCGAGCGUCAUUUCAACCCUCAAGCACAGCUUGGUGUUGGGACUCGCGUUAAUUCGCGUUCCUCAAAUUGAUUGGCGGUCACGUCGAGCUUCCAUAGCGUAGUAGUAAAACCCUCGUUACUGGUAAUCGUCGCGGCCACGCCGUUAAACCCCAACUUCUGAAUGUUGACCUCGGAUCAGGUAGGAAUACCCGCUGAACUUAAGCAUAUCAAUAAGCGGAGG